rnacentral:rRNA from 1 species
AAAUUGAAGAGUUUGAUCAUGGCUCAGAUUGAACGCUGGCGGCAGGCCUAACACAUGCAAGUCGAGCGGUAGCACAGAGAGCUUGCUCUCGGGUGACGAGCGGCGGACGGGUGAGUAAUGUCUGGGAAACUGCCUGAUGGAGGGGGAUAACUACUGGAAACGGUAGCUAAUACCGCAUAAUGUCGCAAGACCAAAGUGGGGGACCUUCGGGCCUCAUGCCAUCAGAUGUGCCCAGAUGGGAUUAGCUUGUAGGUGGGGUAACGGCUCACCUAGGCGACGAUCCCUAGCUGGUCUGAGAGGAUGACCAGCCACACUGGAACUGAGACACGGUCCAGACUCCUACGGGAGGCAGCAGUGGGGAAUAUUGCACAAUGGGCGCAAGCCUGAUGCAGCCAUGCCGCGUGUGUGAAGAAGGCCUUCGGGUUGUAAAGCACUUUCAGCGGGGAGGAAGGCGGUGAGGUUAAUAACCUCAUCGAUUGACGUUACCCGCAGAAGAAGCACCGGCUAACUCCGUGCCAGCAGCCGCGGUAAUACGGAGGGUGCAAGCGUUAAUCGGAAUUACUGGGCGUAAAGCGCACGCAGGCGGUCUGUCAAGUCGGAUGUGAAAUCCCCGGGCUCAACCUGGGAACUGCAUUCGAAACUGGCAGGCUAGAGUCUUGUAGAGGGGGGUAGAAUUCCAGGUGUAGCGGUGAAAUGCGUAGAGAUCUGGAGGAAUACCGGUGGCGAAGGCGGCCCCCUGGACAAAGACUGACGCUCAGGUGCGAAAGCGUGGGGAGCAAACAGGAUUAGAUACCCUGGUAGUCCACGCCGUAAACGAUGUCGAUUUGGAGGUUGUGCCCUUGAGGCGUGGCUUCCGGAGCUAACGCGUUAAAUCGACCGCCUGGGGAGUACGGCCGCAAGGUUAAAACUCAAAUGAAUUGACGGGGGCCCGCACAAGCGGUGGAGCAUGUGGUUUAAUUCGAUGCAACGCGAAGAACCUUACCUGGUCUUGACAUCCACAGAACUUAGCAGAGAUGCUUUGGUGCCUUCGGGAACUGUGAGACAGGUGCUGCAUGGCUGUCGUCAGCUCGUGUUGUGAAAUGUUGGGUUAAGUCCCGCAACGAGCGCAACCCUUAUCCUUUGUUGCCAGCGGUCCGGCCGGGAACUCAAAGGAGACUGCCAGUGAUAAACUGGAGGAAGGUGGGGAUGACGUCAAGUCAUCAUGGCCCUUACGACCAGGGCUACACACGUGCUACAAUGGCAUAUACAAAGAGAAGCGACCUCGCGAGAGCAAGCGGACCUCAUAAAGUAUGUCGUAGUCCGGAUUGGAGUCUGCAACUCGACUCCAUGAAGUCGGAAUCGCUAGUAAUCGUAGAUCAGAAUGCUACGGUGAAUACGUUCCCGGGCCUUGUACACACCGCCCGUCACACCAUGGGAGUGGGUUGCAAAAGAAGUAGGUAGCUUAACCUUCGGGAGGGCGCUUACCACUUUGUGAUUCAUGACUGGGGUGAAGUCGUAACAAGGUAACCGUAGGGGAACCUGCGGUUGGAUCACCUCCUUACCUUAAAGAA